rnacentral:rRNA from 1 species
UACGAAGGGUGCAAGCGUUAAUCGGAAUUACUGGGCGUAAAGGGUGCGUAGGCGGUUCGUUAAGUCUGUCGUGAAAUCCCCGGGCUCAACCUGGGAAUGGCGAUGGAUACUGGCGAGCUAGAGUGUGUCAGAGGAUGGUGGGAUUCCCGGUGUAGCGGUGAAAUGCGUAGAGAUCGGGAGGAACAUUAGUGGCGAAGGCGGCCAUCUGGGACAACACUGACGCUGAAGCACGAAAGCGUGGGGAGCAAACAGG